CCCAGCCUCCGGCCCUCCCUCUGUCGCACUGUGUGUGGCCUUAGGACAGCACUCAGCCCCUCUGAGGAUCUCCUGGGUACUGAGAGGCCAACACCGGGAGGAAGACGAGUUCACAGGGAGGCCUGGGGGACCCCUGGUCAGCUGGCUGCAGCUGCCUCGGGAGGCUGCAGGGACGACCGUGAGCUGCCAAGGCCUGCACCAGAGCGGGACCAUCGAGGCUGCACUGUACUUGCCUGGCGGCCCAGGGUGCAAAGCGCUGGACCUGAACUGGAAUGAGACUCAUGAGAGCAGUGGAGACAUCCCUCUUGCAGAGCUGGAGCACACGCUGGCUGCCGUCACCUACUGCUACCUGGGGCUGCUGGGUGCCACUCCCCUUUAUGGCCUGAUCCUGGUGGUUCUCUGGAGGAAUCGCUGCUGCCUGGGCCACCUGCAGGUGUCUCCCACCCAGGAGGCUCAAGCAGUCCCUGGGGAUUCCAGGCCUCAGGAAGGCAGGG
rnacentral:lncRNA from 1 species